AUAUUGGGGCGUAAGGGCUCGCAGGCGGUUUCUUAAGUCUGAUGUGAAAGCCCCCGGCUCAACCGGGGAGGGUCAUUGGAAACUGGGAAACUUGAGUGCAGAAGAGGAGAGUGGAAUUCCACGUGUAGCGGUGAAAUGCGUAGAGAUGUGGAGGAACACCAGUGGCGAAGGCGACUCUCUGGUCUGUAACUGACGCUGAGGAGCGAAAGCGUGGGGAGCGAACAGGAUUAGAUACCCUGGUAGUCCACGCCGUAAACGAUGAGUGCUAAGUGUUAGGGGGUUUCCGCCCCUUAGUGCUGCAGCUAACGCAUUAAGCACUCCGCCUGGGGAGUACGGUCGCAAGACUGAAACUCAAAGGAAUUGACGGGGGCCCGCACAAGCGGUGGAGCAUGUGGUUUAAUUCGAAGCAACGCGAAGAACCUUACCAGGUCUUGACAUCCUCUGACAACCCUAGAGAUAGGGCUUUCCCUUCGGGGACAGAGUGACAGGUGGUGCAUGGUUGUCGUCAGCUCGUGUCGUGAGAUGUUGGGUUAAGUCCCGCAACGAGCGCAACCCUUGAUCUUAGUUGCCAGCAUUCAGUUGGGCACUCUAAGGUGACUGCCGGUGACAAACCGGAGGAAGGUGGGGAUGACGUCAAAUCAUCAUGCCCCUUAUGACCUGGGCUACACACGUGCUACAAUGGACAGAAC
rnacentral:rRNA from 1 species